GGAUGGCGUUGUGAUAGUUGUGCCCCUCUUUGAAUCUCAGUCCGUUCUGUUCCGGGUGGCUCAAAGUUUCCAUGCGGAGCCGGUCGUGCCAAACUCCCCCCUGCACCAUGGCGACUGUGUCGGCUGUCAACUUUCAGCAGGCUUCCCCCGCAUUCCAAAAACAUGUAUUGGGUUAACUGAAGACUCUAAAUUUGAAGUUUUCCAUAGGGAGGAAUAUACUAUUGGGGUAUGUUUUUUGCCAAAUGCGUCAGACAUGUCCAAGAGAGAUCUACAAAGAAGUCUCAACUAUUUGACGCAAGGAUAUGUACACGGAAUUGAGAUUUUGGACGGAGCAGGACGCAAUGUCAGAGUUACAGCAAAACGUUGGAGAUCGAUGCAAAAACGUUUGACGCCUCACAAACUUCAUAUUGAAAUCCAACAGGAUAAAAUACUGGAAUCGUACUGCGCAUGUAAAGCAGGAAUGUCAACACUACUGAGGAUCUGACUGCCACAGAGUCCUACCCAGAGGCUUGGAGAUUACAUGUGCUACUUCCACGUUAAAGCCUCUAAACCUUCGCCUCCACAGAGCUGAUCUGACUGCACAAUCAUUCCCCUUAUGCUCAUCUCUAGUCCACUGGCCAUGUGGCCUCUGCUCUCCCAGGAUGUCCGCUUACUUCCACUUCAGCAGAGAUUUGCAGUGCACAGCGAAGGUCAGAACAUGAGUAAAUUUGUCAGCUUGUCUCCAUGUAUGCUGGAUAACCUAGGUAUUGACCCACUGCCUUCACCACCAGCUGGAAAACUGACAGCCAAUCAGCGUUUGCCACGCCUGCAGUGCUUCCUGUUCUGACCCCCCAUUGCUUGCGGAUACGUUUCGCUGAACAGAGAAUGUCCGCAUUUGGUGGACGAUUUUUGUGAAAAAUAAUUAGAAACAAACCAAACAAAAAUAGCAUGAUGUACAAUGUUCAAGCCUAUGCACUUGAGCCCGAAUACACACAUCCAGCACUUGACAUGUUAUAGAGGGGGCGUGGCACUAACGACAAACAAUAACAGUCCCAUUAUAUGGACUACGGAGAUUGGAUGCUUUUCUGAGGAGUCUGUUUCGAUGUAGAGAUUAUACACCAAGCGAGGCCCAAGUUUUUUUUUUUUUUUUUACCCCAAGCAGCAAGCCUCUCUCAAGCGAACAGCAGCAGCGGUGUUGGGGGUAGGGGAGCAUGCGCGGAUCGCUAUAAAUAGUAACCGGGAAAUGUUGUGUUCUGAAAGCUAGCAAAGCGAGUUGAUGCUCCGUGUUAUUACAAUACCAACCAUUGAGCAAAUAAAAUAAAAAUAACAAUGUACAAUGUAAAAUGUUCAAGCGUUUGAACCAGAACACACACAAGGGGAAUUCGAUGUGUUGAGAGGAACGUGGCGCUGACGACGAACAAUAACAGUCCCAUGAAAUGGACCGUGAAGAUUUGAUGCUUUUCUGAGGAGUUGGUUAAGAUGUAUAGAAUAUAUAGCAGGUGGCCAGACUUUUUUUUUUAACACCAAAUUGUACUUUUCAAGCAGCGAAGCUUGUCGCUACCCAUCAAAGGCGGGGGUGGCAGGUGGGGUAUUGCACGUGUGGAUCACCGUAAAUAGUAACCACGAAGUGUUACACGUAUGUAUCCAUCCACCCAUUUUCUUGGCUGCAUGAUGGUCGAAGGUGUGCUGGAGCCUAUCCCAGCUGUCAACGGGCAGGAGGCAAGUUUACACACACGCAGACAUGGAGAGAACAUGCAAACCCCACACACGGAAGUCCAGAUUGAACAGCUGCGCCUUAAAGGAGGAGUCCUAACCUCAAUUUAACAAAAAACCUUCGUUCCCAACCAGAAUUAAGAUUACUGUCGAAAUUGUAUUGAAAUUUCUUCCCAAGAGUGUAAGAUGAUUGAGAGACACUCUAGAACCACGUUCCCCAACUAUCAGUCCCCAGACUGCUCCUGGUACUGGUUUAGUACCAGACCACAGAGAGAUAUUUUGCUUAUCAUAUCAUCAAGUGCAGGGCUCCCAUUAAUUACAGAAAUUACAUUCGCCGUAAUGUGAGUUAUAUUGUAUUUAUUUGUUUCUGUGUCGGUCUGUCAAGAUAUUGCUUUACGCGAAACGUAUCCAUGAUGCCCAAAAAAAUUGUGUGGAGCACUGCUCCAGACACUGUCAGAUUAAUAUACCACUAUGUUUGUCCCAUACCAUCCAUCCAUUUCCAGAGCUGCCUCUCCUCAGAAGCGUUGUGAGCACACUGCCGCUUAUCCCAGCUAUUUUCGGGCAGGAGAUGGGGUACACCCUGAACUGUUGCCACCCAAUGGGAGGAGACACAUAAGCAACCAGUCACACUCAAUUUAGAGUUAGCACUUUUAUAUUGUACUGUAUGUCUUUUAUCUAAAUGGGAUUGUUAUCAUUCAGAUAUACUGUAGCAUCACAACUAUGCUUUGCACUCCUACAUGUCUAAUCAAACUUCUCUGCAUCAACAACAGAGACACGCGCACAAACACACUUGGGCUGUCCACACACAGAAGAGCUACAAUUUCAAGGUGGAAAUGAAGGCGCUGGAGGCAAGAGUGAUGCGCAGGGAGGGCCGCGCACAUUCAAUCACCCCCUGGCAGCUCUUCAACUUCACCUAUCAUCAUUGCAUCAUAUCCCAAAAUUUGCACUGAAGUACACCUCAACUCUAACAUACUGCUGACACAUCAAAGGGCCGCAGCACUUUCACAGCACUAGUUGGAUCCUCAUAGCCACAAUCUGCAGCUCCCAUGACAUGCACAGGGGGGAGGACAGGCAUGACUAAAGCCUCGAGCAGACGUAUUAAAAAAUGGAUUCUCCAUUUCCCACUUCGAUGAGUGGGAGUAAAUUGGGCAGCCUUUGGGCAGAGCUGCUGCUUCAUGGAAUAGUUAAGCUUGAAGGUUAAGGAGAGAUGAUCUGGAUCACGGACUGGGCACGACUGGCUAGACGAGAUGAACCAAAGUGGAGCUCUUUUCUUCCCCAUACAAAAAAGUAGGAAGCCCAACUUAAUUCUCAGUUGAAUAAAUCAAUGGCAGUAGCAUGGCAGUCUUGACACUAUUCUGAGUUUGUUUCGGAUGGAGGCAAUAGAUCCAGCAUACAGAUUUCCUGUUGAGAUUUUCACCAGGGUGUAGAAGAUACACCUAUAUUUGCAAGAGCAGCAUUAAAGGGAAAAUUAAAAUGAAAAAAGAGUACUCAUCUAUUGCUUCAGGGCUUGCCUUUUGUAUAUUCCUCAACAAUAUCGUUUCCUGUCUGUUCGCCUUCACCAUCGGACAAACUGGUUAGAGUUCUGAAUUCAAUUCUGUCCAUGGAAUUUUUUUUUUUUCCAGAGGGCUCCCUAAUUAAGAAUUUAAUUAUGGCUGAGAGCGAAACACAGCCAACAAAUCUCCCUCAUGUUUUAAACAUCUUUGGGCUCCUCAUCUCUUUCCCACUCCGUCUGUACAAGCUGGUUCUCAGGAAGUUUUGAGGUGAACGGAAGGUAAGACAUGCACAAAGAUGGUAAUCACAAAGGCCUACACAAGAGAAUUCUCGAGUGUGCAUAAACUGCAUUCAUGAUCAAAGAGAGCGAAGAGCCUAAAAAAAGAUAUUGAACACAAUCUGUUAUUGCAAUUAGAGGCAAGACUGCACAAAUACACCAAAAUAAAUAAGAUAAUAAUAAAAAUGAAUGAUAUUAGUGAAUGUAAAUGCAAUAACUUCAGCACUGAUUGAAAUUGUACUUUUAGCCCAACUUUUUGGGUCAAUGUUCCCUCGACGGUUAUUACGAUGCCUUGUCGGGUGUAGCGAAUCCAGUAUUUUCCUCCUCCCUGCUCUUAGCCACCUCUAUCUUGUCUUCAUCUUACAUGUCUUCUCAUAUUGUCUCAGAAGGGCAACCUUCCAGAAGCUAUUUGUCACAAGUGGGUAUUUCACAGUACCAUAGGCUCCAAGUGUGUUUGCUGGGAAUUGGGUGCUCGGAGCAAGGUGUGAUUGGAAAGCUGUAGAAAGAUG